AGUGAACGCUGGCGGUAGGCCUAACACAUGCAAGUCGAACGGCAGCACAGUAAGAGCUUGCUCUUACGGGUGGCGAGUGGCGGACGGGUGGGGAAUACAUCGGAAUCUACUUUUUCGUGGGGGAUAACGUAGGGAAACUUACGCUAAUACCGCAUACGACCUACGGGUGAAAGCAGGGGAUCUUCGGACCUUGCGCGAUUGAAUGAGCCGAUGUCGGAUUAGCUAGUUGGCGGGGUAAAGGCCCACCAAGGCGACGAUCCGUAGCUGGUCUGAGAGGAUGAUCAGCCACACUGGAACUGAGACACGGUCCAGACUCCUACGGGAGGCAGCAGUGGGGAAUAUUGGACAGUGGGCGCAAGCCUGAUCCAGCCAUACCGCGUGGGUGAAGAAGGCCUUCGGGUUGUAAAGCCCUUUUGUUGGGAAAGAAAAGCAGCAGGUUAAUACCCCGCUGUUCUGACGGUACCCAAAGAAUAAGCACCGGCUAACUUCGU
rnacentral:rRNA from 1 species